CAGCAGCCGCGGUAAUUCGAAGGGGGCUAGCGUUGCUCGGAAUUACUGGGCGUAAAGGGAGCGUAGGCGGGUCGUUUAGUCAGGGGUGAAAUCCCGGGGCUCAACCUCGGAACUGCCUUUGAUACUGGCGACCUUGAGUAUGGGAGAGGUGAGUGGAACUCCGAGUGUAGAGGUGAAAUUCGUAGAUAUUCGGAAGAACACCAGUGGCGAAGGCGACUCACUGGCCCAUUACUGACGCUGAGGCUCGAAAGCGUGGGGAGCAAACAGGAUUAGAUACCCCGGUAGUCCCUGUCUCUUAUAC
rnacentral:rRNA from 1 species